AUUGAACGCUGGCGGCAGGCCUAACACAUGCAAGUCGAGCGAGCGGCGGACGGGUAAGUAAUGGAUAGGAGCUGCCCGAUAGAGGGGGAUAACGACUGGAGACGGUAGCUAAUACAGCAUACUAUCGGAUAACCCAUAUGGGAUGAGCUAGUAGGUGAGGGAAUGGCUAACCUGGGCGACGAUCCCUAGCUGGGCUGAGAGGAUGAUCAGCCCCACUGGGACUGAGACACGGCCCAGACUCCGAUGGAGGCAUCAGUGGGGAAUAUUGCACAAUGGGAUAAAGCCUGAUGCAGCCAGGCCGCGUGUAUGAAGAAGGUCCUAGGGUUGUAAAGUACUUUCAGUUGGGAGGCGUUACCGACAGAAGAAGCACCGGCUAACUCCGUGCCAGCAGCCGCGGUAAUUC
rnacentral:rRNA from 1 species